rnacentral:rRNA from 1 species
AGCCAUGCAUGUGUCAGUAUAAAUAGUAUACAAUGAAACUGCGAACGGCUCAUUAUAUCAGUUCUAAUCUACAUGGUAUUGUUUUCCUAAUUGGAUAACCGUAGUAAUUCUAGGGCCAAUACAUGCGUAAACUCAGUGUAUGCUGAGGCAUUUAUCGGAUUGAAGCCAAUAUUUUGGGUGAAUCACAAUAACUAAGCGGACCGCAGUGAGUUAAGCUCGGCGGUGAAUCAUUCGAGUUUCUGCCCUAUCAGAUGUCGUUGGUAAGGUAUUGGCUUACCAAGUCUAUGACGGGUGACGAAGAAUUGGGGUUUGAUUUCGGAGAGGGAGCCUGAGAGACGGCUACCACAUCCAAGGAAGGCAGCGGGCGCGUAAAUUGCCCAAUGAGAUAUCCUCGAGGCAGUGACAAGAAAUAUUAAAGCGAUGCCUUUUGGGUAUUGCAUUUAAAAUGAGAACGAUGUACAACUUCUAACGAUGAUCAAUUGGAGGGCAAGUCUGGUGCCAGCAGCCGCGGUAAUUCCAGCUCCAAUAGCGUAUACAAAUAUUGCUGCAGUUAAAAAGCUCGUAGUUGAAUUUCUGUUGGGGGCCGAUCGGGCGCUACAAUGUAGAUGAUUCCCAGUGUUGGCCCUGGACAUUAUUGUUUUUCGAAAGAGAGACAUCAUUUACUGUAAAAAAAUUAGAGUGUUUCACGCAGGUCGUAUGACCGGAAUAUAUUAGUAUGGAAUAAUAAGAUAGGACUUUGGUGCUAUUUUGUUGGUUUGCACACCAAGGUAAUGAUUAAUAGGGACAGUUGGGGGUAUUCGUAUUUAAUUGUCAGAGGUGAAAUUCUUGGAUUUAUGAA